rnacentral:rRNA from 1 species
GACGAACGCUGGCGGCGUGCUUAACACAUGCAAGUCGAACGGAAAGGCCCUGCUUUUGUGGGGUGCUCGAGUGGCGAACGGGUGAGUAACACGUGAGUAACCUGCCCUUGACUUUGGGAUAACUUCAGGAAACUGGGGCUAAUACCGGAUAGGAGCUCCUGCUGCAUGGUGGGGGUUGGAAAGUUUCGGCGGUUGGGGAUGGACUCGCGGCUUAUCAGCUUGUUGGUGGGGUAGUGGCUUACCAAGGCUUUGACGGGUAGCCGGCCUGAGAGGGUGACCGGCAACAUUGGGACUGAGAUACGGCCCAGACUCCUACGGGAGGCAGCAGUGUGGAAUAUUGCACAAUGGGCGGAAGCCUGAUGCAGCAACGCCGCGUGCGGGAUGACGGCCUUCGGGUUGUAAUCCGCUUUCGCCUGUGACGAGGCGUGAGUGACGGUAAUGGGUAAAGAAGCACCGGCUAACUACGUG